GUCCAGGGAUUGGAAUCGAACCCACAUUGUUCUGCUUACCGGGCAAGAUGCUAUGUGCACUAGGCUACCCUGGA